UACGUAGGGGGCUAGCGUUGUCCGGAAUCACUGGGCGUAAAGCGCACGUAGGCGGCUUGUUAAGUCAGGGGUGAAAUCCUGGAGCUCAACUCCAGAACUGCCUUUGAUACUGGCGAGCUUGAGUUCGGGAGAGGUGAGUGGAACUGCGAGUGUAGAGGUGAAAUUCGUAGAUAUUCGCAAGAACACCAGUGGCGAAGGCGGCUCACUGGCCCGAUACUGACGCUGAGGUGACGAAAGCGUGGGGAGCAAACAGG
rnacentral:rRNA from 1 species